GAGUUUGAUCCUGGCUCAGGAUGAACGCUGGCGGCGUGCUUAACACAUGCAAGUCGAACGGGGAUGCUUAUGGAAGGAGUGCUUGCACUUUGGAAAUGAGUAUCUUAGUGGCGGACGGGUGAGUAACGCGUGGGUAACCUGCCCCAUACCGGGGGAUACCACCUGGAAACAGGUGCUAAUACCGCAUAAGCACACGGGAGCGCAUGCUCCUGUGUGAAAAACUCCGGUGGUAUGGGAUGGACCCGCGUCUGAUUAGCCAGUUGGCAGGGUAACGGCCUACCAAAGCGACGAUCAGUAGCCGGCCUGAGAGGGUGGACGGCCACAUUGGGACUGAGACACGGCCCAAACUCCUACGGGAGGCAGCAGUGGGGAAUAUUGCACAAUGGGGGAAACCCUGAUGCAGCGACGCCGCGUGAGUGAAGAAGUAUUUGGAUAUGUAAAGCUCUA
rnacentral:rRNA from 1 species